rnacentral:rRNA from 1 species
CGUUGAAAAGUGCUUGGAUGACUUGUGGGUAGCGGAGAAAUUCCAAACGAACUUGGAGAUAGCUGGUUCUCUCCGAAAUAGCUUUAGGGCUAGCGUCGACAUAAAGAUUCUUGGAGGUAGAGCACUGUUUGGGUGAGGGGUCCAUCCCGGAUUACCAAUCUCAGAUAAACUCCGAAUGCCAAUGAAUUAUGGUCGGCAGUCAGACUGCGAGUGCUAAGAUCCGUAGUCGAAAGGGAAACAGCCCAGACCACCAGCUAAGGUCCCAAAAUAAUUGUUAAGUGGAAAAGGAUGUGGGGUUGCACAGACAACUAGGAUGUUAGCUUAGAAGCAGCUAUUCAUUCAAAGAGUGCGUAAUAGCUCACUAGUCGAGUGACCCUGCGCCGAAAAUGUACCGGGGCUAAAACAAUUUACCGAAGCUGUGGAUACCUUUAUAGGUAUGGUAGGAGAGCGUUCUAUGUGUGAUGAAGGUGUACCGUGAGGAGUGCUGGAACGCAUAGAAGUGAGAAUGCCGGUAUGAGUAGCGAAAGACAGGUGAGAAUCCUGUCCACCGUAAGACUAAGGUUUCCAGGGGAAGGCUCGUCCGCCCUGGGUUAGUCGGGACCUAAGGAGAGACCGAAAGGUGUAUCCGAUGGACAACAGGUUGAUAUUCCUGUACUAGAGUAUGUAGUGAUGGAGGGACGCAGUAGGCUAACUAAAGCAGACGAUUGGAAGAGUCUGUCUAAGCAGUGAGGUGUGAUAUGAGUCAAAUGCUUAUAUCUUUAACAUUGAGCUGUGAUGGGGAGCGAAGUUUAGUAGCGAAGUUAGUGACGUCACACUGCCAAGAAAAGCUUCUAGCGUUUAAACAUACUCUACCCGUACCGCAAACCGACACAGGUAGUCGAGGCGAGUAGCCUCAGGUGAGCGAGAGAACUCUCGUUAAGGAACUCGGCAAAAUGACCCCGUAACUUCGGGAGAAGGGGUGCUGACUUUAAGUCAGCCGCAGUGAAUAGGCCCAAGCAACUGUUUAUCAAAAACACAGCUCUCUGCUAAAUCGUAAGAUGAUGUAUAGGGGGUGACGCCUGCCCGGUGCUGGAAGGUUAAGAGGAGUGCUUAGCGUAAGCGAAGGUAUGAAUUGAAGCCCCAGUAAACGGCGGCCGUAACUAUAACGGUCCUAAGGUAGCGAAAUUCCUUGUCGGGUAAGUUCCGACCCGCACGAAAGGCGUAAUGAUUUGGGCACUGUCUCAACGAGAGACUCGGUGAAAUUUUAGUACCUGUGAAGAUGCAGGUUACCCGCGACAGGACGGAAAGACCCCAUGGAGCUUUAC